AUCCUGGCUCAGAUUGAACGCUGGCGGCAGGCCUAACACAUGCAAGUCGAGCGGUAGAGAGGUGCUUGCAUCUCUUGAGAGCGGCGGACGGGUGAGUAAUGCCUAGGAAUCUGCCUAGUGGUGGGGGAUAACGUUCGGAAACGGACGCUAAUACCGCAUACGUCCUACGGGAGAAAGCGGGGGGAUCUUCGGACCUCGCGCCAUUAGAUGAGCCUAGGUCGGAUUAGCUAGUUGGUGAGGUAAUGGCUCACCAAGGCGACGAUCCGUAACUGGUCUGAGAGGAUGAUCAGUCACACUGGAACUGAGACACGGUCCAGACUCCUACGGGAGGCAGCAGUGGGGAAUAUUGGACAAUGGGCGAAAGCCUGAUCCAGCCAUGCCGCGUGUGUGAAGAAGGUCUUCGGAUUGUAAAGCACUUUAAGUUGGGAGGAAGGGUAGUAACCUAAUACGUUGCUACUUUGACGUUACCGACAGAAUAAGCACCGGCUAACUUCGUG
rnacentral:rRNA from 1 species